rnacentral:lncRNA from 1 species
AUUUUGACAUACAUACAUGGAGUAUUACUUAUUCUAAUUAGGAUCCCAUUGUUGUGGUUGUACAUGAUGUGGAGUUUCACUGGUUGUGUAUUCCCAUAUGAACAUAGGAAACUUAUGUCUGAUUCAUUCUCCUGUCUUUCUUAAUCCCAUACCCCCUCCCUUCCCUUCAUUUUCCUUUGUCUAAUCCAUCCCCCACCAGAAAGGGCUGUAAUGGUAGAAAUUUCAGAUACCUUAGUCAGCUAACAGUUGAAGUUUAGCUUUGUUUUAUUUUGUUGGCACUGGAGAUUGAAACGGGGUGCUGAGUCAUAUCUUCAGCCCAGUACCCAGGUUUAUGCUAUAGGCUAGGAAAUAUGAGAGGGAGAUGGUAUGCAUAGAGGAAGUGUUUUGAGUUUAUAGGCUUCUUCCACUUUGAACAUAUGGUACUUUCCUGCUCAAAAUGUUUUGGAGUUGCUUUUGAGAUAAGUCUAGGACAUCAAUUGAGAAGUUAGGUAUGAGGAGCCCAGAAUUAGACAGAUUUAU